rnacentral:rRNA from 1 species
UACGUAGGGGGCAAGCGUUGUCCGGAUUUAUUGGGCGUAAAGAGCGUGUAGGCGGCCAAACAGGUCCACUGUGAAAACUCGAGGCUCAACCUCGAGAGGUCGGUGGAAACCGUCUGGCUAGAGUCCGGAAGAGGAGAGUGGAAUUCCCGGUGUAGCGGUGAAAUGCGCAGAUAUCGGGAAGAACACCCGUGGCGAAGGCGGCAUCCUGGACCGGCAUUGACGCUGAGGAGCGAAAGCCAGGGGAGCAAACGGG